AGAAGGAAGAAGAUGGAGAGUCAGUGUUAGGUACCCAGUGAUACUGGUGCUCAGUGUUCCCUUUACCUUCUGACUUGGCUCUGCCACGACUGCCGGCACCAUUGCUACCAAGGCCCCCUUCAAGAACACGAACAUGCCCACCCCGAAGGAGGUAGGCGAGUUCUUUACCAUGGCGGCGCUGUGCCUGGCCUCGGCUUUCGCCUUCUUCUGCUGUCCUAUCUUCAUGGAACGACCGCAACAGUAAUGUGUCGCCCCAUCCCUGUACCUGUGAUACUGCCUGAAUAUUCCCAUCACUCCAAAGGAACUACUGUCGGUACAUGAGCCAUGAUGCUUUCUCCAGCAUUCGAAUGGGGCUGUAAAGGAUCCAGUAUGGUAAGGGCCAAGCAGUCUACUAGUCGAAGAGAGAGGCAAAUCGCUACGAUCACAAACGAAUGACGAUAACUAGAACGAUAGCAAAGUUGGAAUGUUAUCAAAGAUGAUGCUAAUGUAAAAGAUGCCUUUCUGGGGCCAACACAUCAUUUCGAUUCAGCAAAAUAAGGAAUGAUAACUUUUUUAGAAGCCAUCACUAAUGGUUUUUUUUAAAUCUAUAAGUGUUGUAUGUAUAACUGAUCCCAAACCUUAUUUCCAAGUUUCUCUACAUAUUCUGCUGGCCAUUUACUAUCUCCUUUCUUGAUUACAACUAGUAUCUGCUGAGUAAUAGAAGGUAUUCUAGAGCAUUAAAGCUCCCUACAUAAAGUUAACAUAGCAUUCAUUCAGAGAAACACUAACUUACAUGGAAGGAUUACCUAAACUUUGUCAGACACUCUAACAAGUAAACAAUCACCCUGAUGACAGGUGAUCAGAAUUCCAUAUCUAUAACCAGGUAUUCUUACUGCCAGCGUAUUUCAAGCUUUAAACAUAAAAUACUUUUCAUUUCAGGCAACGUAUAUGAGAUGUAUAUUAUACAACUGCUUUUUAUUGUCAAAAUGUUUUCGUGUAUGUACCUCCCUAGAAUGUUAAAUAUUGUAUGUAUGAAUGUCUCCCUAAAUUUACUUUGUUGUUUAUAAUAAAUGUUAAGGGUUAACAUAA